rnacentral:tRNA from 1 species
AUAAGUUUAGUUAAAACAUAACAUUAAAUUGUCAAUUUAAAAUUAUUAAUUUUAUUAAUAACUUUUA